UGUCACCCACCCUAACCUUCCCUAGCGCAAAGGAUCCAAGAAAUCUUUGCACUCCCAGCCCCUCCUCCUAAAGCUAGAGAUAAAGCUUUCAAAUUCCCUGGGGAGAGAAGUCUCCAGCCUGGUUUACAGUAUGUCAUCUGGAGAUGAGCAAGAAAGCACAAAUGAUGGGGAAACUGAGGCCCAUUUGAACUCAGGUCUUCCUGACUCCAGGACCAGCACUCUAGCCACUGCUUCUGGAGGUGAAAAACUGAGGCUCUGGGUGAGUCAAAGAGAAGAGCCUCCUGUGAUCUUAA